UUUAGCUUGCUAAAUUUUUUGAGAGCGGCGAACGGGUGAGUAACACGUUGGUAUCUGCCCCCAAGUCAGGGAUAGCCAUUGGAAACGAUGAUUAAUACCGGAUAGUCUCUUCGGAGUAAAGAUUUAUUGCUUGGGGAGGAGCCUGCGUUCUAUCAGCUUGUUGGUAGUGUAAAAGACUACCAAGGCUAUGACGGAUACCUGGUCUGAGAGGAUGAUCAGGCACAAUGGAACUGAGACACGGUCCAUACUCC
rnacentral:rRNA from 1 species